CCUACUGGUGGCUGCAGUGGGGAAUAUUGGACAAUGGGCGAAAGCCUGAUCCAGCCAUGCCGCGUGUGUGAAGAAGGCCUUCGGGUUGUAAAGCACUUUCAGUGGGGAAGAAAGCCUUGGGGCUAAUACCCUCGAGGAAGGACAUCACCCACAGAAGAAGCACCGGCUAACUCCGUGCCAGCAGCCGCAGGUAAUACGGAGGGUGCGAGCGUUAAUCGGAAUUACUGGGCGUAAAGCGCGCGUAGGCGGUCUGAUAAGCCGGUUGUGAAAGCCCCGGGCUCAACCUGGGAACGGCAUCCGGAACUGUCAGGCUAGAGUGCAGGAGAGGAAGGUAGAAGUCCCGGUGUAGCGGUGAAAUGCGUAGAGAUCGGGAGGAAUACCAGUGGCGAAGGCGGCCUUCUGGACUGACACUGACGCUGAGGUGCGAAAGCGUGGGUAGCAAACAGGAUUAGAUACCCCGGUAGUC
rnacentral:rRNA from 1 species